rnacentral:rRNA from 1 species
CAGCAGCCACGGUAAUACGGAGGGAGCUAGCGUUGUUCGGAAUUACUGGGCGUAAAGCGCACGUAGGCGGCUUUGUAAGUUAGAGGUGAAAGCCUGGGGCUCAACUCCAGAAUUGCCUUUGAAACUGCAUCGCUUGAACACGGGAGAGGUGAGUGGAAUUCCGAGUGUAGAGGUGAAAUUCGUAGAUAUUCGGAAGAACACCAGUGGCGAAGGCGGCUCACUGGACCGUUGUUGACGCUGAGGUGCGAAAGCGUGGGGAGCAAACAGGAUUAGAUACCCGUGUAGUCCCUGUCUCUUAUAC